CUGGAGCUGUUGCGCCCGAUUCCGGCCGUAGCAUGGAUACCGCUCUCCAUUCUGAUGUUUCCGUCGUCCGAGCUGUCCAUGAUUUUCAUCACCUUUAUCGGAGCGUUGUUUCCGAUCAUCCUCAACACGGUUCNNNNNNNNGUGGCGAAUGUCGAUCGCCGCCUUGUGGCGUCGGCGCGCAGUCUCGGCGGCACGCGCUGGGCCAUCUUGCGCGAGAUCGUUCUGCCGGGCGCCGCGCCGAGCAUCGUAACGGGCCUUGCUAUCGGCAUGGGCACGUCGUGG
rnacentral:misc_RNA from 1 species